rnacentral:rRNA from 1 species
GAUGAACGCUGGCGGCGUGCCUAAUACAUGCAAGUCGAGCGAACAGACGAGGAGCUUGCUCCUCUGACGUUAGCGGCGGACGGGUGAGUAACACGUGGAUAACCUACCUAUAAGACUGGGAUAACUUCGGGAAACCGGAGCUAAUACCGGAUAACAUGUUGAACCGCAUGGUUCAACAGUGAAAGACGGUCUUGCUGUCACUUAUAGAUGGAUCCGCGCCGCAUUAGCUAGUUGGUAAGGUAACGGCUUACCAAGGCAACGAUGCGUAGCCGACCUGAGAGUGUGAUCAGCCACACUGUAACUGAGACACGGUCCAGACUCCUACGGGAGGCAGCAGUAGGGAAUCUUCCGCAAAGGGCGAAAGCCUGACGGAACAACGCCGCGUGAGUCAUGAAGGUCUUCUGAUCGUAAAACUCUGUUAUUAGGGAAGAACAAAUGUGUAAGUAACUAUGCACGUCUUGACGGUACCUAAUCAGAAAGCCACGGCUAACUACGUG